AUCGAAAUAGCCCAAAUUCUCUUUACUCACUCGCAAUAGGCAAAUCCUAGCUCGUCGGUGUUCUUCGUCGAUUCUUCUUCAAUCUUUGCUUAUGUGAUAUUAGUUGUGAUUUCAGCUGUCACAAUGUCUGAAUCAAACCUUACACCAUGUCUGAAACUAGUUGUGAUUCAAUUAGUAACUCAAUGAUGAUGACUUGCUUUGGUGGUGAAAUUGCUCGUUGUUUCACUUCAAGGACUUCAUUGAACCCCGAAGAAGAUUUCAUAGGUGUUCUAAACCUAAGGUACGCUUUUCAUUUAAAGUCAAUUCUUAUAAUUUCUGCUUGUAUUUUUAUGAAUCUGAAUUCUUCUCUAUGGUUCUGGAUCAUAUUGAAAAUUGUCGAUUUUGAAAACAAAAAGUGAGAAUAUAGUUCUCCGGAAAAUGCUUUGAUUGAAGUAAAUUUAUUGAAGUCUAAAUUGGAAGUGGCUACAGUGAAAAUGGAGAAUUUGAGAGAGUCGUAGAAUGCGGUUAAGAUUGAAAGAGACAAUUUGAAUAUUUUUUGAGAGUAUAAACUACUUCAAGGUGAACAAAUCAAGAAAUUUGAAAGCGAAAGUGUUGAAGUUGAAGAUGUUGUGAAUAUUGUCAUUUGUUGUGUUUGUGGUAUUUAUUGUUGCAAUUUUCAAGUGAUCUAGUUUUGUGCAAGUGUAUAUUUUUCUUGGUUACAAUUUUCAAGUAAGGAAGAAAUAUUUCCUUUAUUUGGUUGCAAUUUUCAAGUGUAAGCAAGAUAUGUUCUUCAAUGCAAUUUUCAGGUGUUAGUUUAAUCGCAAUGAGUAUUUUGAUUAGCUAAUCUUAUCUUUUGAAUUGGAUUUUGUAAUAACUGAUUUGAAAUCGCAAUGAGUAUUUUGAUUAGAGAAUUUUAUCUUUUGAAUUGGAUUUUGUAAGAACAAAUUAAUUUUGGUACUUGUCAAUUGUAAUGGUUGAAUUUUCUAUAUCUGAGAUGGGAUUUUUGAGGUUGUAGAUUUGGUUUUUCUUUGCAACAGAUAAUUAAUCUCAAACUAAUUAACAUGACCCAAAACUGUUUAAGGAAACUUAUAAGUCAACAUUAAAAUUGCACUUUCAUAAAAUAGAAAAUAGUGCCAUAAUUCUGAAACUUAAAUCACUGGUAUUAUAUUGGUGCUUGUUCAGACUAUUAAAUCUGUCACACUUCAGUUAGUCUAGUAAAAACAUAAGUUUAGCCAAUACAAGAAAGUCAUCAGCCUAUACAAAAACAUAAGUCUAGCCUUAACAUUAUUAAAGGCACCAACCUAUACAAAAAAGGUCAUCAACACAGUUUCAUCAUCCCCUUCUUGACCUUAACUUUUGAACCAUCUGUGCUUGUAGCUGGUUUGUAGUAAUUGCAUCUUUUUUCUUUCAAGUUAAGCCAAUUGAUAAUAUGGAGAGAUUUGUAGGUUCAUUAACACCAGAUUUGUCACCUCUAAAGCUUAUUACUCUAGUUCUAAGGUUCUGCAUCUUUCUCAGUUUUAUUAAAUAAGCUUCUUCAGAAAUUGUUCUUAGCCUUAGCCAAGGGUCUUCCUUAGCUAUUGGAUUCAUGUUGACUUUCUUGUGUUGGUUGGGGGGCUGUUAAGUUGAUGUCUUCCUCAGAAGCUCCUCUUCAUCAAUCAAAUCUCUCCUAGGUUGUCUCAUAUUUCUCCUAAUAGCUUAAUUUCCCUACUUAGCGAUUUGCUUCCCCUACUCAAUAGCUUGUUUUUUCUGUUUUGCAAUUUUUAUUCAUAAAAUAAAAUAAGAAAUUAAAUAAUAGAAUUGGAUUAUGAUUUUGUUGUCAAAUAGAUUGAAUAAAAAUUACCUUUUGACAACCUCUUGAAUUAUGAUUUUAUUCUCCACAAGUACUACAUGUCAUCACUUUUCCUUUCCUUGAUUGCUUCCACACUCAUUGCCUCUUAAUUGUUUCAUUCUUUUCUUUAUCCCUCAGAACCUUAGAUCUUUCGACAAGCUUGACCAUUUCUGGUGGUUAGAAAUGGUUCAGUGACAUUAAAUGAUCAAAUUUCUAGAAUGGCUCUCCCCUAACACAUUGUAACUUGUGUUUGUAAAAUACCCAGGAUGUCUCCUUACUGUAAUACUAAUCAAUUUUAGACCUAGGUUUCAUUUUCUUCUACUUCAUGGUCUUAAUUGCAUGUGGACAAGGAAUUUCAGUGAGAUCUCGUGUCCUAUAUGUGGUCUUUUUCUCUCCUAGAUUGACAAUGUGUCUAUUUGCAUCUUCAGCGACCUCAUAGUUAUUUUUCCUAUUGCCGUUCACCUUACAAACUCUAAAUAUCAUCAAAUACUCAUUAUACAACAUUUCACUUUUGGGACUAAACUCAUUAUCUUACGACUUCCUCACAACAGUCUCUUUUUGUUGCCAACCUCCCCAUUACUUUGACCCUGAUGUCUUCCAACAUUUCAAUGAUUGACUUGUAUGUUGCUACAAGUAUCCAAGUAUGGAAGGACUCUAUAAAAGUUAUUGUUCACAACAUAUACACAUUGUAUCUAAAUAAGCUUUGCACCAUCUUUUGGAAGGAUACUUGUACAAUAAAUUUUGUCUAGCCUCCUAAUCAACUUCCUUAAUCUCUUCAAGUUGGUUUUCAAACUCCUUCGAAAAUGAGGACCAUGCAUCCCACCACAAUAAUUUUUUCAGCUCACCUUAACUUCGUCUUUUGCAUCAAUUUGCCUCAACAGAUCUUGCACAAUAUUUUUGAUGUGCUUUAGGUAAAAUUGUUCUUACUGCAUCAAGCAAUCCUUGAGUAUCAAAUAAAAAUAAUUAAAUUAAAUAAAGUAAUAGUAUUAAAUAAAGGGACUUAAAUGAAUUGCAACUUAGUAGUAUAUUAUUACUUUUUGCAUAUCUUAUAUGAAUGACCUUCACCAUUCUGAAGAUCAUGUAAAUGUUGCAAUUGUUGCAUGAACAAUGUCCAAAUUCUUUUAGUCUCUUUUUCUACCACGGCCCAAGCUAGAGGUUAAAACAGUUCAUGUUAUCUUGACCAAUAACAAUCAAUACUUGUCUCUUAGCUUUUUGUUUUAAUGAAUGUACUAUCUAACCUAAUAAAUGGUCUUAACUCUGCCUUAAAAUCCAACUGUAUUGACUUGAAACAAAUAUACAUCCUAAAAAAUAUUUUGUUCUCAUUGGAUAGUGUCUUAUUAGAUAAAUUAAUUACAAUGUCAGAUUCUGGAUUGCAACUCCUCAAUUCAGUAUCAUAACCCUUUAGUUUCAUGUAGGAGUCUACAAAGCUACCACCCAGAGUCUCUAAUAUCUCCUUUUAGCUAUCUUGCACUUGGCUUUACUUACAUUUAACUCAAACACUCUAUGUAAGCCAAUCUUUAUUUCUUUGACCUUGUACUUAGGGUCACUUUGCAAUUUCUCCUUAAAAUACUGAGUUAUUUUUGUAUAAUCAAUUAAAGAGGUUUCAUAUGUUGUUUCACACUCUAUAUGAUCUACUAGUGUUUAGACACUAGCCCUAUUAGUGGCCAAAUCCCUUGAAAUCGGGCAUACAAAUGGACAACCUUCAGUACCACAUUUAUAUCUCAAUCUUAUUUUAUUACUCUUCACUACAAUCAGGUCUACCUUCUUAGUCAUAGCAUAAAAUUUGCAGAAUUAUUUUACUUUUGUUAUGUCCUGAAAGUUAGACCCUUAACAAUCUCUUUACAAUCUUGCAAACUAUCAAUCAUAUUUUUUUGUAACAAAAUUUUUCAAUUCAUCGAUAUCAUAAUCUGAAUAGCUAAACAUCAUUUGUGCCUAUUAUUAUUACUUUCACUUUCACUACAGUUUGUGCCUUUAUUAACUAUUGGUAAAAGUAAAAAUGACUCAUCAUGUACGACAAUAUCAUGUACAUCAAUAGCUCAUUCAUAGUCAGCAGUAGCAAACACAUGAAUGGAUUUAUAAUCUCAAGAGAUAAAAGAUGAUAAUGUCCUAACUCCUUCAUCUCCUACUAUUUCAAAAUAUUUUUCAGAAGAACCAAGUAUAAUAAGUUGUUGCACAAAAUCUAACUUAUAUGUGUACUCAUUGACUAAGUCAGUAAAAAAUUUAGAUCAGAAUCAUACCUUCUCCAAUAAUGGACCCAUCUCUCAUCAUAGUGUGAUUCUGGAUUAUUAAGUCACUCACCACCAUAUGAAAGUAUAUGGUAACAUUAACCAUUUUAAUAACCUACAAAAAUUUAAACAAAGUAAUUAUUACUACUAAAUAAACUGUUAAAUAUCAAAUAUAAGUCAAACUAUGAAAAGUUAACAUGUCAUAUUACUACUACAUAGCACUAAAGUUAAGUCAGCAGUUUAGGAAGAGUUAAGUAUUUAUGUUAAUUAUUCACUACUAAUUAACAUAUAAGCUAAGUGAAAUAGUUAAGUCUCAAAGCACAAUGUUAGUUAGUUAGUACUCCCAUUAUGAAAAAAGAAGAAAAAAUGGACAGUGGCGGUUUAUUACAUAUAAGUCAGCAGUCUAGGAAGAGUUAACAAGUCAUAUUACAUUGUUAAGUGUUUGAGUUAAUUACACAAUACUAAUUAAUAGAUAAGCUAAGUGAAAUAGUUAAGUCUUGAAGCAUACGAUUAGUUACUUAGUUAGCUAGUACUCACAUUAGGAAAAAAAGAAGAAAAAAUGGACAGUGGCAGUGGUAUUAAAGUUAAGCAUUCACAUUACUUUACUAAUUGUUAAGCAUUAAGAUUAAGUGUCAAACAAGGAAGAGUUAACAAGUUAUAUUACACUAGAUAAGCUAAGUGAAAUAGUUAAGUCUUUAAGCAUAUGGUUAGUUAGUUAGUACUCACAUUAGAAAAAAAAGAAGAAAACAAUGGAUUGUGGCAAUCUAUUAAAGUAUUCACAUUACUUUAUUAAUUGUUAAGCAUUAAGAUUAAGUGGUAAAGAUAAGUCAAAUAAGAAAGAGUUAACAAAUCAUAUUACACUAGAUAAGCUAAGUGAAAUAGUUAAGUCUUAAAGCAUAAGGUUAGUUAGUUAAUACUCACAUUAGGAAAAAAGAAGAAAAAAUGGACAGUGACAGUAUAUUAAAGUUUAAGUAUUCACAUUACUUUACUAACUGUUAAAUAUUUAAAAUUAAGUGUUAAUGAUAAAUCAAACUAGGAAGAGUUAACGAGUCAUAUUAUACUACAUAAGCUAAGUGAAAUAGUUAAGUUUUAAAGCAUAAGAUUAGUUAGUUAGUACUCACAUUAGGAAAGAAAAAGAAAAUAUGAAAAGUGGCAGUCUAUUAAUGUUAAGUAUUCACAUUACUUACUAAUUGUUAAGCAUUAAGAUAAGUAUUGAAGAUAAGUCAAACUAGGAAGAGUUCAUAAGUCAUAUUACACUAGAUAAGUUAAGUGAAAUAGUUAAGUCUUAAAACAUACUACACUGUUAAGUAUUUGAGUUAAUUACACAAUACUAAUAAACAGAUAAGCUAAGUGAAAUAGUUAAGUCUUAAAGCAUACAGUUGGUUAGUUAGUUAGUACUCACAUUAAGGGGAAAAAAAAGAAAAAAUGGACAGUGACACUGGCAUUAAAGUUAAGUAUUCGAAUUACUUUACUAACGAUUAAGCAUUAAAGUUAAGUGUUAAAGAUAAGUCAAACUAGGAAGAGUUAACAAGUCAUAUUACAUUAUUGAGUAAAAACAAAAUGAUAUUGAACUGUUAAGUAUUAAAGUUAAGUUAAAAAUAAGUCAUAUUAAACUAUUAUGUAUUUAAGUUAAUUAUGCACUAAAAUAGUUAAGUAUUAAAGCAUAAAGUUAGUUAAUUAGUCAUAUUAGGAAAAAGAAGGCAAAAUUGGUAGUGAUAUUAAAGUUAAGUUAGUAGUCCACUAGAUAUAAACUCAAAGUAUUUAAGUUAAGUCAAACAAGUCAUAUUAAUUCAUAUUAAACAACUUGGCAUCAUACUAUAAUCUUAAAAUUAAACAACUGACAGUUUUUUGAAAAUUCUAGUGGUUGGGGCCCCCAAGAAUUGUUGGGUUCAAAAGUAAUCAGGGCUUCAUGCGAAAAUUUACAAUUAUAAAUCAAGACGGUGAUAAAUUAGAUGGCAAAAACUUAUACUAAAAAUAUAAUAUUAUUAUAUGAAAAUUAAUAUAACUAAAUCUCCCCAUAAACAAAACUCUUAAAUGUUUACAUUGUGGAUGUUAUUGUCUUAUGCUAUGAGAAUAGGGUUCUUCAAUUUAUAGAUCUCCAAUUUUUUUCUAAGGAAAGAAUAACCAAAUAUGGAAGAUAAUUAUAUUUUCCUUUCAUGAAAAGUUCAACACUUUAUGGUAAUACUUUGACUUUCCUUAAAAUAAAUAAAACUUAAAACAUGAUAGAAAAUCGGGGAAAAAUCCUAACAAAUCUCCCCUCUUGACUGGAUUUUCUUAACAAAACUUGAUUCGUCUUCUUCACAUGCAUGAUAAUCUUCAUUCUUCACAUAAUCUUCCUCGUUGUUGCUUGCCAUGGUUAAAAAUAAAGUUUAAAAUAUAUGGGUUAAAAAUUAUUUAAAAAUAUUUUAUUUUUAAUAGUGUAGCAACAUAAAUGUUGAAAAUAUGGUUUGUUUACAUCCCUACUCUAUUCAAAUAAGGUGAAACGUCGUGAUGACUCAAAAAAUAAACAUUUGAUUCAAUUUUAAAAGAAUUUUAAGAAUAAACAAAUUUUAAAGGAGUCGCCACCUAAUUUUAGGAAAAUUAGGAAAUCAAUUUUAAAAAAAAUGUCUACGAAACCAUUAGAUUCUAGGUAAGGGGUUCAAGUGAUUUCGAAGGGAAGGUGUUAAGCAUCCUUCGAAAUCCACAAAUGUGGUUCCCGACUGAAUUCAUUUUUUCAAAUUGAGGAAAAGAUAAAAAUAAUAUACAAGUAUAAUAAACAUACAAUAUACGCAAUUAAUAAAAUAAAACAAUAAUAUAAGAAACGAUCUAAAUUAAUAUACAAUAAUGAAUCAAAAAUAUUGUUCAAACUUUGUUCGAAUAACUUCAAUGGAAAGCAACUAUGGGUACCUGUAAAGAUACUUAGUAAAAAUGUUAGUACUAAAUAAAUAUGAAUAAAAAUAAAUGAAUUAAAUAAUAAUUUGAAAAUAAAAACCCGUCUUAUUAACAUGAGAGGCCUUGGAAAUCGACGGUAAUUUCUUCAUCGGCCAAUUUUAACAUACAAAAUAUAUAAACUUAAACUAAAUUUUCAUCUUUAAUAUUGGGGAGGCCUCAAAAAACCGAUGGAGAGAUUUUUUCAUUGGCCAAUUUUUACAUAUAAAAACUACAAACAUACUAAAUUUCUGUCUUUUAAAAUGGGAAGGCCUCCAAAACCGACGGAGAGAUUUUCUCAUUGGCCAGUCUUAACAAACAAAGCACAUAUCGUAUAAAACAAAUAAUAGCUGGAUAAUAUUGAACAAUAGCAGCAACCUGGAGUCAACAAUCAUAUGAAGCUAACAAAACCAAUAUAGGGUAACAUAAAAAAUUUAACUAAUAAUACUAAACAAAAUAAUACUAUUAACAAAUAUUUAAAUGGUGACCAAAAUAGUUGCUAGAAAUUCUAAAAAAUAAAACAACUACAUACAAUUAAUUCUAAAAGAAAAAGUGAUUAAAAGUAGCCAAACGUUUAAGUAUAAUAGGAUAGUAAUAUGAUUUGGAGCAAACACAUGAUAAACUUUAAUGGAGGAAAAUUUAAUUUCAAGCAGAAUAAUAAGACAACGAAAUAAACAAAAUUUAAUCAACUCAAUAAAAAAUGUAACAAAUUCAACCAAAGAAACUACAAAAAGACAAUUGAAAAUGAGAAUAAAUUUAAAUCAAUAAUACUUGGAACACAAAACUAGUAGCAUCUAAAGCAAUAUGCAUUAAAUAAUCAACAAAAGUAGUAAAAAUGUCCCAAAACAAUGUUGUUCACCAAAAUGUUUAAAAAUAAUUAAAUCAAUUCCAAAAAUAGAAAUGAAUACCACCAUAAGUCAAAUUACAAUAACAACACUAAUAAAGGUUACCGGAUUACGCUUUCCUCCUGGCAGAUCUGAAAAUGUGAUGUUGCUUUGCUUGUUGAGCCUAGCCGGAGCUUGAUUGGUUGUUCGCCGGAGAUGGAGCCACGUGAAAUCUGCAAAACAGAAACAACAUAAAAAUUGUGAAAAGGAAAGGGGAAGGGGCCUGGUGUUGUUUUCUUCUUCUUUUCUCCGGCUCAUCGGAGUUUGCAACUCCUCGCCGUAGCUGCUGGUUGCAUCAAACAGGGAGGUUGUAGAGGUUGAGUGAUGAUUCUCGCUGGAAAAAAGAGAGAAAUGAAUGGUGGUUUCGCGUGGCUGUUCGGAGCUUUAGUUGCUAGUUUCUGUGGUUGUUUUCCGAUGGAUUUUGGUGGUGGAGUGUCGCGCCCCGUUUUUUACAAAACAAGUUUUGGGUACACAACUUAACAACUCUUUUUAGGCUUAGUUUUAAAAUAGGAAAUAAGAGGAUUCAAU
rnacentral:lncRNA from 1 species